rnacentral:rRNA from 1 species
UACAGAGGUCCCAAGCGUUGUUCGGAUUCACUGGGCGUAAAGGGUGCGUAGGUGGUUGGGUAAGUCUUAUGUGAAAUCUCCGGGCUCAACCCGGAAAUGGCAUUGGAUACUAUUCGGCUAGAGGUUUGGAGGGGGGACUGGAAUUCUCGGUGUAGCAGUGAAAUGCGUAGAUAUCGAGAGGAACACCAGUGGCGAAGGCGAGUCCCUGGACAACACCUGACACUGAGGCACGAAAGCUAGGGGAGCAAACAGG